AAGAGGGGAGACAGGGAGAGGGGAGAGCCAUGGAAAGACCACCGGCUCACCAAUUCGACUCAAUAGUACUCACCUUGAAAAAAAAAAAAAAACCAAACCAUGUAACUAAAGCAAAGUAACUCCCUCUCCCUAGUCACAUCCGCUCUGUUUCUCAAGGAGGGGAAAUACCUGUGGAUUUUUUGUUGGUGGUGGUGGUGAAAAACAAAAAUACAAAAACAAAAAAACAAAACAAAACAGGAAUUGGGAUAAAACAGAACAGCUGUGUAGAGAAGAUGCGCGCCUGCGAACGGACGCACCGACAAUGACCGAGGUUCAAGAACAAGACUUUUCCCCUUGGCGGAAAUACAUAUUUUAACACUUUAACGUCACUUUGGAAAAGAUCACACGUUCAGUCCAAGUUUGAAGUUGUUGGUUUUUUUUUCCCCCAUUCAAGAAGGAUGAGUGGAGGUCGCUUUGAGUUCGAUGACGGCGGCGCGUACUGCGGCGGCUGGGAGGGCGGUAAAGCGCACGGCCACGGCAUCUGCACCGGUCCGAAGGGUCAAGGCGAGUUCUCCGGCUCGUGGAAUUACGGUUUCGAGGUGGUCGGGGUGUACACCUGGCCCAGCGGGAACACGUACGAAGGCUACUGGGCUCAAGGCAAGCGCCACGGCCUGGGCAUCGAAACCAAAGGCCACUGGGUGUACAAAGGCGAGUGGACGCACGGCUUCAAAGGCAGGUACGGCACGCGCAUGAGCCUCGGCAGCGGCGCCAAAUACGAGGGCACGUGGAAUAACGGCCUGCAGGACGGCUACGGUACCGAGACCUACGCGGAUGGCGGUACCUUCCAAGGGCAGUUUACUGGUGGAAUGCGACAUGGCUAUGGUGUGCGUCAGAGUGUUCCAUAUGGUAUGGCCGCUGUAGUGCGCUCUCCUUUGCGUAACUCACUAACUUCACUGCGUAGCGAGCACAGCAAUGGCACGUUGCUGCAGCAGGAUGUUCCCAUCAUCACCACCACAAAUGCCUCAGGCAAAGAGACUGUUGUCACCUUGUCGAUGCCUAUGGGGCCUUCACGUGGUGGCUUUGCUCUCAGCCUACAUGGUGACCCUGAACUUGCCAAGCCAAAGAAGAGGGGCCUUUUCCGUCGCAGCUCGCUGCUGGGCAAGCUGACCAAGUCGGAAUCCCGCACAUCCCUCUCCAGCCAGAAGAGUAAGAUCAGCUUCCUGCGCAGCGAGUCAGCCCUCAGUUCAGCAACUAGUGAUGCCAACUCCACCAUCAGCAUGGGUGACAGUGAAGUAGAGGGCGAGGGUCAUGAGUUCCCACCUGUCGAGGCUGACAUUGAUGCCACCACCACUGAGGUUUACAUGGGUGAGUGGAAGAAUGAUAAGCGGUCAGGCUAUGGUAUCAGUGAGCGCUCCAGUGGCCUCAAGUAUGAGGGCGAAUGGCUGGAUAACCAACGGCAUGGCUAUGGCUGCACUACAUUUGCUGAGGGCGGUAGAGAAGAGGGCAAGUAUGUACACAACGUGCUGGUGAAGGCUGUGAGGAAGAAGGUGAUUCAACUGAAGGGCACCAAGGUCAAACAGAAAGUGGAAAGGAGUGUUGAGGGAGCGCAGAGGGCCGCUGCCAUUGCCAAACAGAAAGCAGAAAUUGCCAGCUCAAGAACUUCCCAUGCCAAGAGCAAAGGAGAGGCUGCUGAACAAGCCGCUCAAGCUUCCAACAACGAGUCCAGCAUUGCACGUGUAGUGGCCAGAGAACUCUCACCUUCAUUCCAUCAGCCAGGUCCAGAAUACCUAAAGAAGCGAGCAUUACAAGAAAUUGCAGAGAGCAAUGAGAACGCUGAUACAGGCAUGCAUGAGUCACUGCUAUCUGAGGAGUUCAUGCCUCCAGAUACACCCUUUUUGCAUGAAAUGGACAGCCUGAAGCCCAACAUUAGCCCAGCACGCACACCAUCACCCGGACCUACCAUUGCUGCUGCCCUAGAUCCUAAUCUUCUUGGUCCUGGGAGCUGGAAUAGUGGGGACAGAAGUAGUCGAGGUGGCAGUAGUGGUAGCAGAGGGGGAAGCCGCCCAGGGAGCAGGCAGAGCAGUCGUCCUUCAACUCCUUCAACAUCACCACCCAAUUCAGCUCUGGAGCCAGCUUCAGCACCAAGCAUGGUGGAAUCUGCUGUCCCCAGCACAAAGGGUCCCAGCCGCCAAAACAGCAAAACUGAGCAGGGCUCUGACCUUGAGAUUAAGCCUCUACAGAAGAUGGACUUAGAGUCCAAAGCAGUAGAACCUGCUCCAGCCCCAGUAAAGACUAGCCUCAUCUCCUAUACUGAUGAAGAAGAACAAUCUCCUCCUGUCUCCAAAGUCUCCUCCAAAGCAGUGACCCCAGAACAAAAAGCUCCCGAGCAGAGAGCCGAGGCCAGGGAACCUGCACCAGAGCAUCCAGCAUCAAUAACCGAGAGUAAGCUGGAAGCCAAGGAAGACAUAAAAGUGGCUAACAAAGCUGAAGCUAAGCAAUCAGUGAAACAAGCACCUAGUCCAGCUCCAAGACGAGAACCAAGCCCGACUCUGAGACGAGAACCAAGCCCGGCUCCAAGACGAGAACCAAGCCCGGCUCCGAGACGAGACCGUAGCCCGGCUCCGAGACGAGACCGUAGCCUGGCUCCAAGACGAGAACCAAGUCCAACUCCAAGACGAGACCGUAGCCCAGUUCCAAGACGAGAACCUAGCCCGGCUCUGAGAAAAGAAUCUAGCCCAACUACUAGACGAGAUCCUAGUCCAGCUCCAAAAGCUGUACCUAAGCCUGAACCUAAGGUUGUGUCUAAAGCAGAGCCCAAAGCUAUUGCCAAACCAAUUGCUAUGCCUGCACCCAAAGUAGACCCCAAAGCUGAGCUGAGACAGCGGGCUCUAAUGAAAUCCCCUGAUGAAGUGAUUGCAGUGACAGCACCAGAAGAGGGGCCAAAUACAAUUAUGAUCUGCAUGGUCAUUCUGCUCAAUAUCGGUCUGGCCAUUGUUUUUGUUCACAUCCUGUCCUGAUGGAAAGAUGUCCAAGAAUCUGUCAAGAACCUUGCCUCAGGUUUCCCCUGUAAGAAUAAUGCUGUCCAAACAGCAUUAAUCGAUGACCAAGAGAAUUCAUUUCACCUUAAAGAGCAGAUUUUUUGUUUCUUCAAACCAAGAACAUCCAUAUUGAAUAACGAAGAGGAGACAUGAGUUGUGAUGGAUGCCACAUGCUCCCCUUGAGGCUUCACUGAUGUGAUACAGUCUCAAAAAAGCUCUCUCGAGCCACCUGAAGGACAGUUACUGUGUGUAGUUGGAUUGGAGGAUGACAUCCAGUGAAAGUUUGUGUCUAAAUGCUAGAGAGAGUUUUGCUCUCACAUGAUGGAAAGUGUUUAUCUGUAUUAUGCUGCUUUAAAGAACAAUUAUUUCCAACUUCACAGUGCCAUUUACUUCUUAAAAGGGAAAAUAUAUUUUAUGCAAAUUAAGUAUUGAUGUCAAGAUUACCAGUUUACCACUGAUUAUCAACCAAAUCCAUGGUUUCUGAUCAUGUGAAUUUGAAGAAGGAAAAAGAUCUUGCUUGUUACCAUCUGACAAAUGUUUUGAAACUGCUUUAUUAGUGUGCAAUAAUGCACACUCAAGAUGUCUUAAAGUCUCACAAGGUCUUUUCCUUUGGUUUUUAAUGCAGUCUUCUAACGAAUACAUGAGACAAACUUUUUUCAAACCUCGUGGUAAAAAAAAAGGAUUCUGAAAGAAAUCUUUGCCUUUUUUCAGUUCACAUGAGAAAGAUGGGACAGUUGCAUUUCACAUGGUUUUGUCUGAUGUUCCUGAGAAAGUUUCUUUCUCAAUGUAACAUCCCACUUCCAUUUAGUGUCUGAAGUAUUAUGACCAUUAGCAAAAACAAAAAAUUGUUUAGCUCAAGACACAUUGUACUGUGAAAAUGUUUGUGCUUGCAAAUGUAAUUUUUAGAAGUACCAUUUGCAGAAACUAGUGGUUGAGUACACAACCAAAACAGGUUUUGUAUGCAUGUUAAGGGUUUUUCUACCUUUCUAAAAUUGUGAUAUUACAUUACAGCAACAUGUGCAUUUGCAAAUACUGAAGAAUCACCUCACAACAAAGGUGUGGCCCAUCUAUAAAGGGCCAGUGUGGCUGCAGGUUUUCAUUUCCAGCCAAUCAGGAUCUACACCCGAUUCAACUUGUUAAAUCAGUUGAUCAUGGUCUUUAAGUAGGUGUGGCUCUGCUUGGUUGGUAUUAAAACCAGCACAAUUGGAUGUCCCUGCCUUAAAAUAUUGCAAAGAUUUUUUAGAUUAAUACCCCACUAUUAGAAAAGUAAUCAAUACCCUCAGACUUUGCACUGAAGAAUUUGUUUGCAAUCAAACUCUAGGGCUUACAGCAGACUGUCGUUAAACACCCUGAUUAUCACCCAAGUAUUUUAUUGAUAUUUUAUUUGGCUAUAAACAGUAGUUAUAGAUCAUAGUCUUCGUCUAGCUUUUUGACCCAUUACCGAAGGGUAUGAAGAGAAAUCAGUGAGCUACAUGUAAAUGCUCUCAAACGGCAUUCAUCCAUUUAUGGCUUGUAACUGUUUGCACUGGAGUGAUUUGUGAUCAGUGUUUUACAAAUGCAACUUUGCCAAUGUAUUUUUCCCUCAUGAGAGUGCGCCACGCGCAACAGUUCAUGUUACAAAUGAGAGAUUUAUUCAUUAGGUGUGUUUUCAUAAGAAUGCUUUAAAUCAUGCUUUCACUGGCUGAAUAAUGCACAUUCAAAAUCCUGAGAAUCCAGAAGCCUUCCAAAAUAUUCAUCCCAUAUAGAUGAUUUAACCAACACAUACCUGUGUUUGCACUGUUGAAAGGAAUUAAGUCAUGGCACUCGGAGACAAGUACAAAUGUAUUGUGUUGAGCAGUACCACUGAAUACAAAUA